rnacentral:lncRNA from 1 species
AGCCUCUGGUAGGAGUCGUGUGCUGUCCACCUGCCUCUGCACCUGGAUGUGAUUUCCUGAUCUGUGAUGGUGAUGACAGCUGCCCCAGACAGGAAGCUUUUUCCAGCCCCGGCCAAAGCACCUCUGCCUGUGACCUCCAGGCGGAUUCCUAACCAUGGGCCCACCAGGAAAGCCUGCGGACCAGGACUUGUCUUCAUCGCCCCCAGACCUUGGCAUCAGGACUCCAGGAGAGGCCGCCCCGGAAUGUUCCACCCUGGCUCGAUGCCUGCCGGGCCGCGUGGCGGGCACAACGGUGCGGUUCACACCCCUGUGCCCUGUGGGUCCAGGUCCCACAGAAGCCCCUGGGGACUGGUGGCCAUGGAGGGACGUCACCCAGGCCUGAAUUGUGCUUUGGAGCUGAAAAGUCGCUGUCUCACAAGACCCAAGGCGGUAGGGUGCAGCAGCAGCCUGCCUGGCUAGAGAGGGAAGUCGGCCAUGAAUGAAUGAACGGGUUUGCUGCAGAGUCUGUGAGGCUUCAGGACAUUUUCUGGGUGAGGAGCCGGCCGGGGAGCGCGCCCACCUCUGCGGCAGCUCCGAUUGGCGCGUUUUCUCCAGCCUCCUGAGCAGCCUUGCCAAGUGUCAUAAAAAUACAUCAGUGCUCCGGCCGCCCAGAGUCGUACUUACUGCCAG